GCACCCGUAGCUCAGCGGUAAGAGCGGCACUCUUAUAAGGUGAAGGCGGUUGGUUCAACUCCAACCGGGUGCA
rnacentral:tRNA from 1 species